GGGCGAAUUCGUUUAAACCUGCAGGACUAGUCCCUUUGAUGAGGGUUAAUUCUGAGCUUGGCGUAAUCAUGGUCAUAGCUGUUUCCUGAGUUCAUACGACCCUCUGUCUGGGCGUACACGGGUUGAAGACGUGGGACCAUUCGGGCCUCGCGCUAUCAGAUGAUCCUAAGUCCGAUUAACUCGUUGGUAGGGUAAUGGCCUACCAAGGCGACGAUCGGUAGCUGGUCUGAGAGGACGACCAGCCACACUGGGACUGAGACACGGCCCAGACUCCUACGGGAGGCAGCAGUGGGGAAUAUUGGACAAUGGGCGAAAGCCUGAUCCAGCGAUGCCGCGUGUGUGAAGAAGGCCUGCGGGUUGUAAAGCACUUUCAGUAGGGAAGAAAAGCCGAGUGCCAAUACCACUCGGUCUUGACGUUACCUAAAGAAGAAGCACCGGCUAACUCCGUGCCAGCAGCCGCGGUAAUACGGAGGGUGCGAGCGUUAAUCGGAAUUACUGGGCGUAAAGGGCGCGUAGGCGGUGAAGUAAGUCGGGUGUGAAAGCCCCGGGCUCAACCUGGGAACUGCAUUCGAUACUGCUUCGCUAGAGUAUGGUAGAGGGAAGCGGAAUUCCGGGUGUAGCGGUGAAAUGCGUAGAUAUCCGGAGGAACACCAGUGGCGAAGGCGGCUUCCUGGACCAAUACUGACGCUGAGGCGCGAAAGCGUGGGGAUCAAACAGGAUUAGAUACCCUGGUAGUCCACGCCCUAAACGAUGAGAACUAGCCGUUGGAGGAAAUUAGUCCUUUAGUGGCGCAGCUAACGCGAUAAGUUCUCCGCCUGGGGAGUACGACCGCAAGGUUAAACUCAUAGGAAUUGACGGGGGCCCGCACAAGCGGUGGAGCAUGUGGUUUAAUUCGAUGCAAC
rnacentral:rRNA from 1 species